rnacentral:lncRNA from 1 species
GCGGUCCCCACCCCCCCCUCCCCUUUUCGCCGUCGCCCUUUUAAGACCCGUCCACACGCCUCCGUCCGCCAUUUUGCCUCCCAAGAUGGCGGCGCCCGAUCUGGAGCGGCUCCUGGCCGCGUUGCUGGAGCCCGACAGCGCCGUUCUCCGGCAGGCCACCACCCGCCUCCGCGAGGCCUUCGCCGACCCCCAAACCCCCGCGCGCCUGGGCCUGCUCCUCAGCGCCGCGCCGCAACCACAGGUUUUUUUAAAAAAAUCCCUUUUUUAAACCCUCCCUCCGGUACCGGGGACCCCAAAUCUUUCUAUUUUUAUGAUUUUACAACUUUUUUAGAUCAGGCAAUUGGCCGCGGUGCUGCUGCGGCGGCGGCUCCUGGGGAAGUGGCGGGGGCUGGACUCGAACCUGCGGCUCCGGUGGGUGCCCGGGGGGCGGGGCUUGGGGAGGAGGAGAGGGCGUGGUUUGUGGACCAGAGGGCGUGGUUUGGUGAGAAGAAGGUGGGGUUUGGGGAGGAGGGGGCGUGGCUAAGUCAGGCCCCGCCCCCUCCAGGCUGCCGGCGCUGGUGGCCGAGGCGCUGGAGCGAGAGACGGAGUGAGUUUUUGGGGGGAAAUCGGGGGAAAACGGGGGUUUUUGGGGUGGGGGGACAAACCGGUUCAACCCAGUUCGUCCCAGUAAACCCCAGUCCCCCCCCCAGUCCCUCCCAGUGCUCCCAGUAACCCCAGUAACCCCCCCAGUCCCUCC